ACGACGGGUGAAGGCGGAGUACCCGCUUUUGUGGGCUUCAAUGCCGGCAAUGGCACACGAUCCUACGAAUAUACGCCAUACAGCCAACAGAUGGUGAUACGUGACUUAACGGGACGUGGUUGGGGCAAUGGUUUCCCAGGACGCCAUCUUUUCCGCAUAGAUGAACAAAUUUUAAUUGGCUCUUGUAAUAAGGAUAUCGAUGCUUCACAUUUGCCGCUGACAU